rnacentral:lncRNA from 1 species
CCAGGAAGCUAGCAGAGAGGACAGGGGAAUCCAACAUGGCAUAUCCAUCCCAUGGAAAAGUAUUUCUGUUGGUUUUGACUGGGCCACUGGGGCCUGGGGCUGUCUAGGGUCCUAGGAAUCAUCAACAGGGCACUCAGAAGUAUGUGGUUUUGCUAGUCCUGGAGUCUUUCCCUUCUCCAUCCUGGGGCAGGCCCCACCCCAGGGAUCAAGACUUGCUUCCAGAAGGCCCGAAUCAUCACAAAUUAUCACUAGGCAAUAACCAAAAGACAGAUUUGCAAUUCUCAGGAGAAGGGUGCUGAGUGAGAGGAGAGGAGAGAAGCUCAAAAAAGUGCAGAGUGAAUUGAGGACUUUGGAAUUCCAAUUGGAAGACCCAAUGAAAAUCAGGGUGGAUAUGAGAAGCAGU